GGGAGGGUGGGUAGUCCAUACGAGCGCACCCUAUUUUUAGUUACCAGCGAGUCAUGUCGGGAACUCUAGAAAAACUGCCUGGGCAACCAGAGAGGAAGGUGGGGAUGACGUCAAAUCAUCACGGCCCUUAUGUCUUGGGCUACACACGUGCUACAAUGGUUACUACAAUGUGAUGCCAUCUGGUGACAGAGAGCUAAUCAAUAAAGGUAAUCUCAGUUCGGAUCGGAGUCUGCAACUCGACUCUGUGAAGUUGGAUUCGCUAGUAAUCGUAUAUCAGCAAUGAUACGGUGAGUACGUUCCCGGGCCUUGUACACACCGCCCGUCAAGCCAUGGAAGUUUGGGGUGCCUGAAGUCAGUAACCGUAAGGAACUGCCUAGGGUAAAACAGAUAACUAGGGCUAAGUCGUAACAAGGUAGCCGUACCGGAAGGUGUGGCUGGAAUAUCUCUUUUUUU
rnacentral:rRNA from 1 species